UUUUGUUUUUCUCUCAUUGAAUUUAAAUUAAUAUAAAUCUAUAUUAAAACUGCUUUCGAAAUUUGCAUCUACAAUAAUAUAAUCAAGAUGUUGAAAUUCGUAUUUCAUAUGGAGAGUGGCAGCUGAGACUUUCAUUAAAGCUUACGGGAGCGGUGAAAUACAAUUUCCUAUAUAAUUUCCUAAUCAUUAGGAUACGCAGAGAUGAAUUCUAUUGAAAAUAUUAUAUUUGAUAUCGUUGAAUAUUCAUGAGCUGAUGAGAACAGCUGUUGAUUGUGUGGAUUGCCUACGUCAUGCGCGUUCUUUUGUGCUAGUAGAUCAUUCAGACGAUCGCAAGGUCUUUUACAAAUAACUAUAUUGAUGCGUCGUUGAAUGCCUAGUGUACCGGGCCUCGUUGAGUAUUGUGAAUCAUGCGAAAAUCUAUAGUUCUCCACAAUGCGUCGUCAUAAAAGAAAUGCUUAACCAUUAUCCCUUCUCUUCAGAAUUAUUGUUUUUCAUAUUCAAUGGGUCUUUCUAUCUUUUCUAUGGCUCUUUACCGCGUUCAAAUGCAAAGACGAAAUAAAGUGAACAGUUGAUAUCCAAUCUACUGCGUUUCUAGGCGCAUUAUUCCCAGCUCUCGGUCUAUAUUAUUUUGUAUAUUAUAUUCGGCGAUAUUAUACAUAUUCUCUGUCUGAUUUAUGUGGGUGAAAUAUUUACUUCAAUGUCGGGUAUAACUUAAUUACUGUGUUCCGAAUCGCCAGCAAUAUUGUGAAAUAUGCUUCGCUAUGGCCGGAAGCAGAUAUCCUAGUAGUUUUCAAUUCGUUGUGAAUGAUGUAGACAAACGGUAGUAAAAUUCAGUGUAAAAAUAUCGAAGUAUCGACGAAGAGGCGCCCGGUGUGUCUAUGUAUAACACACGAAAUUGAUAUAGCAGACAGGUGGCCACGAUUUAAAGAUAGAACAUGAGACAAAUAUAAUGUACUGAAGCGGGCGAGUUCAAGAUUAAGCGUGGGGCUGUGGCAUUGAGGAGGGGUUACGCUGACCAAGGAUACGAUGAAGGUCGCAGAGAAAAACAUCCAAUACAUCUUGCAGAUAGGAUCUCGGAACAACAGAAGUUCCGGUGCUUGUGGUCUGUUUAAGGCAUCUAACAUCGAGGUAUUAAGGUUAUUGCUGGUGACAGGAAGGACCUCCUUAAUAGUGUACGGAUAUGUUUGGAAACACACCUGCCCAGGCGAAGCUUUGCAUCUAGCUGCUCACCCGCCUGCGUGACCGACCGCAUCAUUAGGAUUAUGUAUAUACUUGGAGCGUUAACUUUUUUGUCAACAGCUCUUUUUAGAAUCCCGAGAGUUGUUUUUCCCCAAGAGUUAAAGCGAUACAACAGUGGCACAUUCGUUUGAUGAUCAUCCGUCAAGGGUCUUCGAAUAAGUUACCACAUCCUCUAGUAACCAUAACCCCUUAUACAAACCUCAAUAUAUAAUUUUAA